UGCCAAUGGUGUGAGUUAGUGAGAUCUUGGAGAUUUCUUCUUCAAUCUUGGAGAAUGACUAUUACUGAAAAUGAACAUUUCUCCGUCUCAUCAUUUCACUCUAUUAAUUCAGGUAUAUAAUGUGCAAAGUGCCAUGUGACUCAAAAUAUUGAGGUAACAUGGUUAAUUAGAUUGACCAUGAGUUUGGUGAUGUUUGAAGGCAAUUGAAGGGAGUUUUCACAGAGUGAAAAACUGCUGUAUGGUGACUCCAGGUUUGGAUGUACGGACCAAUGGGACUGCCACGGGUACCUGGAAUGGUGGGAGGACAAUCUGAAGGUAAUUAUCGUUGCACACAACGGUAGCGUCCAGGCCUCCAGAGUUCUCACCUUAUCGCCUGAUGUACGGACAGGAGCCACAGCUGUUUACUGAGUGAUUUUUUUUCUAUUGCUAUUUUUGUAUAACGUACUUUGAGGUCACUGAAACUCCACCUGAUGUGAUAGAAGUUGUCAAACCAGAUCAGAACACCUUCGAGGACCACCUUCAGGCACGGGAUGUGGAGAUUUUUGACCAGGUGAGACUGUACAUGGACAAGGCACAGGAGAAACAGAAGGAAAGCCACCAGAUGAGAAUCAAGGGGACCAAGUGCUUCGACAUCCGGGCGAAUGACUUGGCUUGGAAGAAGGACAAAAGGAAGGCGAGACCUGGGAAACCUUGCUGCUCUUUCGCUUCUGGCUGGGGUCCCCAUCUGUUAAGGACCUAGGGGUUCUGCCUAAAACCCAGACAUGGAUCCACUUGAUCCUCCUUUACCAACCACCCUCCAACUUUUCAUUGCAUCAGCUACUCUUAUUGUCAUGUGGUCAUUAUCUGCUAAGAAAGAGCAAGAAAAUGAUCUUACUGGGCACAUAAUGUGAGAUGCACAGAUAAGCUAAAAACACUAGCACUGCAAACACUCAGAACAAAGAGAGCAGCAGCGCCUGGACUUUGCAGUUUCCCUCUUCGAGUCCCCCUUCCGAGACUGACUGCCUGUUGAAAACAAGUGACAGGCUGAAUCUCCCAUCCACACAGCACCCACCUCCUCUCCAUUCCACACGCCAGAAUUCAGUAUUUCAGUCUGAUUGCCAUGUGAGUGUACAAAAAAAUCUGUGAAUGUAAACGGACACACGUACCAAAAAAAUAUACAUCUUUUUUUAUUUAAAUUUAAAAUAUUGCCAGCUUGGUAUUCACAGGUGUUUCAUGAGGUGUUUAUUAUUGUUAUUUGUUAGCUCAAUAUUAUUCAUUGUUGUAGCUAUGAUUUGUAAAAAAUAAAAUCAUAAUAUUAUUUCUGUGUAGAUAAGGGAAGGCCUGUUUUAAAGUGAAAACAUCCCAGACAGACAAACCAGUGUAUGAAUCAAAUGUAUUUGCAUAUAAAUGGAGUGGAAAGUGGAUGACUUUGUGAUCAGCAAGGUAAGAAACAAUGUGUGGAGGGGUUCAUUAAAAUAUACAUGUUUUUUUUUUACCCCAAUGUCUAUUUAUUCAUAAAAAGCAGAAGAUGGCAAGUAACAUUAAUAGGAAUACAUUAGCCUGAUCGGUAACAAAUAUGACGUGGGGAAAAGUCAGGGCCCUCAUUUAUUAACGUUGUGUACGAAUAGAAAUGUUCGUAAACCAUGCGUGCGAUCAUUUCUAAGCAAAGUGGGAUAUAUCCAUUUGUACUUAUACUUGAAUGUGUGUAAAAAUUUAAGCGGACCUCUGACCAUGUGGUAGAAAAGUCAAACUGCUAAUGAAAUGCCAUCCACCAAAUGGAGAAAGGAUUGACAUACUGGACCCAAAUCAUAAACUAUGACGAAAAAAGUUAAUACAUGAAUAGUUUCUUUUUCUUUUAUAGACACUUAAGCUACUAAUAGUUUUCUUAGGGUGCUAUCGAAUAUAUAAACAUGAAACCAUUUAAGCCUAAUUGAAUAAAGUUCAUUAGAAAGAGUGGAAUGUAAGGUUGGAGGCAAUUUAGUUAAACCAGUUAAAUAAUAUAAAAGGCAACACUGAGGCAUUGUGACUUGUCCAAAAUGGCAAAUAUUGCAUUGCUGGAGGAUCUGGCACAAGCCCCAUUAUGCAGGGAGUGUAUUUUCAAUGCGCAUGCAGAUUUUUUUUGCUGAGUGCGACGCUUGACCUAUUAGAUUUCGUUUUCAAGGCAUAUUUUAUUGUGUCUCUGUAACCAACUCUAACCAGUAUUAGAAAGGGAGACGAAACGCCCCAGUGCAUACCAACGUCUUCUCCCUGGGAGUUUUAGCCACUGGAACAUUCUAACGGCAGAAUGCAGAUCGGUCAGGCAUUUUAAAACCAACCAGGAGCCGAAUAUUGCCUGCAGUCCUCAUGGCAUUAUUUAAUUGAUCCCACAAUACAUACAGUUUCCGUGCAACAGGCCAGAGUGAAAAGGAUUUCCAUAGCUGGAUUUCCCAAUGUCAUUGGAGAAAUUGACUGCAACCACAUCACAAUAAAAGCACCACUGAACAAAUUCAACUUCGUCAAAACUAAAGGUUUCCAUUCUGUCAAUGUGCAGGUCGUCUGUGAUUCACAUUUGGCUUUGUUGAAUGUAGUGGCCAAACGGCCAGGUGGGGGACAAUUAAUUCAUUGUGCAAAACAGUUCAGUUGGCCUUCACCUCCAGGAAGGAGCUGUUGAGGAUGGAUGGCUUAUUGGUAAGCAACACAUUUCAUUUGCAAGGUUUCAUUUGCCAUGUUAGACCUCUACUGGGAAACUAAAUGUUGUGUUCAUAACUGCAGGAGACCGGGGCUACCAAAUUAAAACAUGGCUGAUGACUCCUCUCAAACCAAUGUACAAUCAAGCCCACGCAUGCAUAAGAACAGUGGAGCGCACCAUAGGCCUGCUGAAAUGGCGUUGGCUGUUCUUGUCUGGGACAGCAAUACCAGCCUAGCAAGGCUUUCCUCAAAUGACAUUCUUUCAAAUGCCAUUAUGUGAAUGUAAUACAAUGUGAAAAUUCCUUUUUAGGUUUGCUACAUUGUCAAGGCUUGCAGUGUGCUCAACAAGAGUCAAUAUCAUACGGUUUUAGGUAUGUUCUUCCAAAUAUAAUCAAAUCGACAAGGAAAACGCGUUUACAUUGCACCAGAAUUUGUCUCACAUGUUUGACACAAACAAGUUAUUUCAAUUAUUGUUUCUUUCUCCAGCAGUUGCGAACAUCCACCAGUUGCUGUUUGAAUCUGAGAAUUGAUGUGUUGAUCUCUUCUUGUUGUUUCAGGACUGCGUCAGCCAAAGCAGCUGAAGCGCUCACCAACGAGGACACCCUUGUAGCCCUGGAAAUGGCUGAGGGGUCAGGCAAAUCAGCCACCUCUGUGAAGACUUCAUGUUUUGUUAUAUUUAUUUUGUUACAUAUAACAAAUAUGUAGAUGUGGCCCAUGUCUGAAUAUGGUUGCAAAAAUAAAGCUUGACUUACCAUCA
ensembl:lncRNA